CUACGGGAUGCUCCAGUAAGGAAUAUUGGGCAAUGGACGGAAGUCUGACCCAGCCAUCCCGCGUGCAGGAAGAAUGCCCUAUGGGUUGUAAACUGCUUUUGUUUGGGAAGAAAUGUACUUUUUCAAGAGUAUUUGACGGUACCAGACGAAUAAGCACCGGCUAACUCCGUGCCAGCAGCCGCGGUAAUACGGAGGGUGCAAGCGUUAUCCGGAAUCACUGGGUUUAAAGGGUGCGUAGGCGGCCAGAUAAGUCAGAGGUGAAAGUUUCCGGCUCAACCGGGAGAUUGCCUUUGAUACUGUUUGGCUUGAAUCAGAUUGAGGUUGGCGGAAUGUGACAUGUAGCGGUGAAAUGCAUAGAUAUGUCAUAGAACAUCGAUUGCGAAGGCAGCUGGCUGGAUCUGUAUUGACGCUGAGGCACGAAAGCGUGGGGAGCAAACAGGAUUAGAUACCCUAGUAGUC
rnacentral:rRNA from 1 species